rnacentral:rRNA from 1 species
GUGCCAGCAGCCGCGGUAAUACGUAGGGUGCGAGCGUUAAUCGGAAUUACUGGGCGUAAAGUGUGCGCAGGCGGCCGAGCAUGUCGAGUGUGAAAGCCCCGGGCUUAACCUGGGAACUGCGCUCGAAACUACUUGGCUGGAGUGUGGCAGAGGAAGGUGGAAUUCCACGUGUAGCGGUGAAAUGCGUAGAGAUGUGGAGGAACACCGAUGGCGAAGGCAGCCUUCUGGGCCAACACUGACGCUCAUGCACGAAAGCGUGGGGAGCAAACAGGAUUAGAAACCCGGGUAGUCC